GACGAACCGUGCGAACGUUGUUCGGAAUCACUGGGUUUAAAGGGCGCGUAGGCGGGCUGUCAAGUCGGUGGUGAAAUCGUUCCGCUCAACGGGACAAUGGCCUUCGAUACUGGCGGUCUGGAGGGAGGUAGGGGCAUGCGGAACUUCCGGUGGAGCGGUGAAAUGCGUAGAUAUCGGGAGGAACACCUGUGGCGAAAGCGGCUCACUGGACCACAACUGACGCUGAGGCGCGAAAGCUAGGGGAGCAAACAGG
rnacentral:rRNA from 1 species